rnacentral:rRNA from 1 species
GACUACUGUAUGUCAACCCCUUAAAUGCGCCCGAUCUUGUCGGAUCUCGGAAGCUAAGCAAAGCUGGGCCUGGCAAAUACUUGGGUGGAUGACCGCCGUGGCUUGUCAAUUAUUGUAGGCG